ensembl:rRNA 5S_rRNA 5S ribosomal RNA
AUCUAUGGCUAUACCACCCUGAAAGCAUCCAAUCCUUGUCUCAUCUCGGAAGCUAAGCAGGGUCGGACCUGGUUAGUACUUGGAUGGGAGACCACCUUGGAAUACCGGGUGCUGUAGGCU